UACGUAGGGCGCAAGCGUUAUCCGGAAUUAUUGGGCGUAAAGAGCUCGUAGGCGGUUUGUCGCGUCUGCCGUGAAAGUUCGGGGCUCAACCCUGAAUCGGCCGCGGCGACUGUAGGGCUUGGGCACUGUAGAGGCAGAUGGAAUUCCGGGUGUAGCGGUGGAAUGCGUAGAGAUCCGGAAGAACACCCGUGGCGAAGGCGGCUCUCGGGGACGGUACUGACGCUGAGACGCGAAAGCGUGGGGAGCGAACAGG
rnacentral:rRNA from 1 species